rnacentral:lncRNA from 1 species
CAAACGUUCACGGGUGAGCUACAUAAAAUGCACGUGAGUACUUAUGCAGUAAACACUAUAAUUUUUGGAUAUACAAUCGCUUCUCUUCAAACCCUCAGAUUAAUAAUGCAGAGCUGGUCGCCAUGUCCCAAAAGUCAUCACCUUGUCUUUGCCAUCGUUCAAUCAUUUUCAAGCAAGCAGCUAAAAUAUAAAUCAGCUUUUGAAACCCUCUAUAUAAAGCUAGGUUGGGCCCUUUUUUGGUUCAUAAACAAAAAGCUGAGCUGAUCUGCUUUGGUGUUUGAGAAUUGUAAGAUGUCUGAGCAGGGAAGAGGCAGUGCAGGAAACCAUUGGAGUGGUGGUAGUUUUAUGCCUAAUGGUUCAGCUGGGAUGCAGCAACGCAGCCACUUAUAGGGUUGGAGAGUCUGGUGGCUGGAGCUUCAACACAGAUAGCUGGCCUAAUGGAAAGCAAUUUAGAGCUGGCGAUGUGCUUUGUAAGUUUCUGACCUACCCUCGAGAGAUCUUAAUACCGUAUGAAUCAAAAUGUAAGCUAUGUAUAACAAUCAUUGGAAAAUUUUCAAACCAAACACGAGUAGCUGAAGAAGCAACACCUCGUCUAGCCAUAAUAUCUGCCAUUUGAUUAGAUUUCAAAUAGGCAUGUUCUUGGUGCCAGUCAAUGGCCAACUAUAAAACUAGAUGCUCCUUUGUCGCUCUCGUGUCAUUUUUAUAGAUAUUCCCAACCUGGCAAUCAGAGUUCACGGACUUGCAUUAAAAUUUGUCUCGGUGAGCUUCUCUUCAUGUGCAUGGUCAUAUUAUCAUUUUUAUUGUUGUCUUCAGGCCCGCAGUAACUUACAAUUUCCUUCCUUUAUUUUAUCAAGGCCCAUACCUAUGAUAAAG